GAUGAACGCUGGCGGCGUGCCUAAUACAUGCAAGUCGAACGGGGAGUUGCAAUACUCUUAGUGGCGAACGGGUGAGUAACGCGUUGGUACCUGCCCCGAAGCGGGGGAUAACGGACCGAAAGGUUCGCUAAUACCCCACGUGCUCGGUAACGAGUAAAGGUGAAAACCACCUUGGGAGGGGACUGCGUCCCAUCAGCUAGUUGGUAAGGUAACGGCUUACCAAGGCGAUGACGGGUAGGGGACCUGAGAGGGUGGCCCCCCACAAUGGAACUGAAACACGGUCCAGACACCUACGGGUGGCAGCAGUAGGGAAUAUUGGUAAUGGGCGCAAGCCUGAACCAGCCCCGCCGCGUGGGGGAAGACGGCCUUCGGGUUGUAAAGCACUUUUGGCUGGGACGGGGAAGGACGGUACCGGACGAAUCAGCCUCGGCUAACUACGUG
rnacentral:rRNA from 1 species